rnacentral:rRNA from 1 species
AUUGAACGCUGGCGGCAUGCCUUACACAUGCAAGUCGAACGGUAACGGGCCUUCGGGUGCCGACGAGUGGCGAACGGGUGAGUAAUACAUCGGAACGUGCCCGAUCGUGGGGGAUAACGAGGCGAAAGCUUUGCUAAUACCGCAUACGAUCUACGGAUGAAAGCAGGGGACCGCAAGGCCUUGCGCGGACGGAGCGGCCGAUGGCAGAUUAGGUAGUUGGUGGGAUAAAAGCUUACCAAGCCGACGAUCUGUAGCUGGUCUGAGAGGAUGAUCAGCCACACUGGGACUGAGACACGGCCCAGACUCCUACGGGAGGCAGCAGUGGGGAAUUUUGGACAAUGGGCGCAAGCCUGAUCCAGCCAUGCCGCGUGCAGGAUGAAGGCCUUCGGGUUGUAAACUGCUUUUGUACGGAACGGAAAGCCUUCUUUUAAUACAGGAGGGUCAUGACGGUACCGUAAGAAUAAGCACCGGCUAACUACGUG